AUUGAACGCUGGCGGCAUGCCUUACACAUGCAAGUCGAACGGCAGCACGGGAGCAAUCCUGGUGGCGAGUGGCGAACGGGUGAGUAAUAUAUCGGAACGUGCCCAGUAGUGGGGGAUAACUGCUCGAAAGAGCAGCUAAUACCGCAUACGACCUGAGGGUGAAAGGGGGGGAUCGCAAGACCUCUCGCUAUUGGAGCGGCCGAUAUCAGAUUAGCUAGUUGGUGGGGUAAAGGCCGACCAAGGCAACGAUCUGUAGUUGGUCUGAGAGGACGACCAGCCACACUGGGACUGAGACACGGCCCAGACUCCUACGGGAGGCAGCAGUGGGGAAUUUUGGACAAUGGGCGCAAGCCUGAUCCAGCAAUGCCGCGUGCAGGAAGAAGGCCUUCGGGUUGUAAACUGCUUUUGUCAGGGAAGAAAUCCUCUAGGUUAAUACCCUUGGGGGGAUGACGGUACCUGAAGAAUAAGCACCGGCUAACUACGUGCCAGCAGCCGCAGUAAAAC
rnacentral:rRNA from 1 species